rnacentral:lncRNA from 1 species
UGCUACAUGUUCCGCAUCGACGAGGCCGAGGUGGUGGACGCCACCAUGCACGGCAGCGCCGCGCGCUUCAUCAACCACUCGUGCGAGCCCAACUGCUACUCGCGCGUCAUCCACGUGGAGGGCCACAAGCGCAUCGUCAUCUUCGCGCUGCGCCGCAUCCUGCGCGGCGAGGAGCUCACCUACGACUACAAGUUCCCCAUCGAGGAGCCGGCGGCCAAGCUGCCCUGCAACUGCGGCGCGCGGCGCUGCCGGCGGUUCCUCAACUGAGCCUGGGCCGGGGAGGGGUCCCAGGGGGGUCCUGAGGGGGUGGGGAUGGAGGGGUGGGAGGAUGGAGAGGUUCUGGAGGUGGUUGGAGGUGGUUGGGUGUGGCGGUGGGGGGGUUUGGAGAAGGUUGGGGUGGUCCACCAGGAGUGGUGGUGGUCAACCAAGAGUUGUGAAGAUCAAUCGAGAAUCAUGGUGGUCAACCAAGGGUUGUGAAGAUCAAUCGAGAAUCAUGGUGGUCCACCAAGUGUGGUUGUGGUCAAUCAAGAGUGGUGGUGGUCAGCCAAGAGUCGUGGUGGUCAACCAAGAGCCAUACGGGUCAAUCGAGAAUCAUGGAGGUCAACCAGGAGUCAUGGUGGUCAACCAAGUGUGGUUGUGGUCAAUCAAGAGUUGUGGAGGUCAACCAAGAAUUGUGGUGGUCAACCAGGAAUCAUGGUGGUCAAGCAAGAGUCAUGGAGAUCAACCAGGAGUUGGGUGGUCCACCAAGAGCCAUGGGGUCAACCAAGAGUCCUGGAGGUCAACCAAGAGUCGUGGUGGUCAACCAAGAGUCGUGGUGGUCAAUCAGGAGUCAUGGUGGUCCACCAAGUGUGGUUGUGGUCAAUCAAGAGUUGUGGAGGUAAACCAAGAAUCAUGGUGGUCAACCAGAAGUCAUGGAGGUCAACCAAGAGUUAUGGUGGUCAACCAGGAGUCAUGGUGGUCAACCAAGAAUCGUGAUGGUCAACCAAGAAUCAUGGUGGUCAACCAGAAGUCCUGGAGGUCAACCCAGAAUCAUGGGAAGAAGAUGCUGAGGCGCUCCUUGAAGCCAUGGAGAUGCCUCCAGUCAACUGGAAAGAGCCAAAAAAUCAUGGACAGGUCCUGGUGAAGGUCCUGGAGAUGUUCCUGGAAGUCCUGGAGAUACCUCCAGCCAAUCAAGAGUCAUGGAGGUCGACCAAGAGUGAUGGGAAGAUGUUGGGUGUGCUCCCAGAAGUUCCUGAGAUGCCUCCAGUCAACCAGAAGGUCCCAAAAAUCAUGGGAACGAAAUUUUGGGGUUCACCCAGAA